rnacentral:sRNA from 1 species
CAGCUGCUCGGAGGCUCUGGCAUGAUGCCCCCUCCAGGGAUCCCCCCACCCUUUCCUCCGAUGGGGCUACCCCCCAUGAGUCAGAGACCACCAGCUAUACCCCCCAUGCCACCUGGCAUCCUGCCCCCAAUGCUUCCACCAAUGGGGGCACCACCACCACUCACACAGAUACCAGGAAUGGUACCUCCGAUGAUGCCAGGAAUGCUGAUGCCAGCGGUGCCUGUCACCGCAGCGGUAAGCACUAGGGGCCAGCAGGUAGCAGGCUCUGCCCUGCAGUCCCGUGAGUCUGAUUUGGAAUGCAGGACUAUGACCUCCAUUCUUUCCCUCUUCUCAUCGCAUCCACCCAGGUCCCCGGCAGCACUCCCCACACUCAAAUCCUUCUUGCCAGCCAUGUACUCAGCUCUUCUAGUUUCCCACUCAUCCCCAAAGUCAUAUACAUUCUCGUUAUUCACAUGCCUUGUCCAGCUCCCUUAAGGAGCACACUUAUCCUCACAGAGCCACACACUGUGGACACAUGAAUACAGUUCUUCACAUCCUCUUUGUCCCCAGAAGAGUCAGUAGCACCUGGGGAUCUUGCUGUGCCUUCUUAUGCUAUUGCUCAGUGUAGCAGAGUCUGGGUAGGAUAUAGAAUUUGGCAUCCACUGUGAAGGAAUGAGCCUCGGGAGUUGUCUCAACCAAAUACUCUCACUUGAGGAGAACGAAGAAUGGAGCUGCUAUGCGAUUCUCCCCUGGGAUCCCAGAGCUACGGCCCUGAAGGGUGGGGGAAGCCUGUUAGGGAGCAGAGAUCUCUAGGAGCAGGACACAUGGAUUCUGGCCUGGCCUGCUUCUCCAUCCCCCAUGGCCUGGGUCCUGGGGGCCACUGGGCUUGGCCCCAACCCUUCCCCCUCCUCUUUCUUCGGCAGACGGCUCCGGGUGCGGACACCGCCAGCUGUGAGUCUUCUGGGGGCCUGCUCCCCCCAGGCUCGGAGGUUGGGGGGCAUAGGGGAGAGGGGACCAUGGACUGGAGCCCACCCUGGAUCAUGCCUGUUGGGAUGCCAAGGAGUCUGGGAUACUGAUGGGACCAGGGGACUAUUUACUGGGGCUGGAAUACGGGAGGCAUAGGUGGGGAUAAGAUGGAGGUUGGAGCAAGGACUUAGUAUGUAUCCUUUGGCUUUUUUCUAGCUGCUGUGGCUGGGACAGGCCCUCCGAGGGCCCUAUGGAGUGAGCAUGUGGCCCCAGAUGGGCGCAUCUACUACUACAAUGCUGACGACAAGCAGUCCGUGUGGGAGAAGCCCAGCGUGCUCAAGUCCAAGGCAGAGCUGCUCCUGUCUCAGUGUCCCUGGAAAGAGUACAAGUCGGACACAGGCAAACCUUAUUACUAUAACAACCAGAGUAAAGAGUCUCGCUGGACCCGGCCCAAGGAUCUGGAUGACCUAGAGGUUCUAGUCAAACAAGAGGCUGCAGGGAAACAGCAGCAGCAGCUGCCACAGACACUUCAGCCACAGCCGCCUCAGCCACAGCCUGACCCCCCACCUGCACCUCCUGGCCCCACCCCAGUGCCCACAGGCCUCCUGGAACCUGAGCCAGGUGGGAGUGAAGACUGUGAUGUGUUGGAGGCCACCCAGCCCCUGGAACAGGGGUUCCUGCAGCAGCUGGAGGAGGGCCCCAGCAGUUCUGGACAGCAUCAGCCACAGCAGGAGGAGGAGGAAUCAAAGCCAGAACCAGAGAGGUCUGGCCUCAGUUGGAGCAACCGGGAGAAGGCAAAGCAGGCAUUCAAGGAACUGCUGAGGGACAAGGCUGUCCCCUCUAAUGCCUCAUGGGAACAGGCCAUGAAGAUGGUGGUCACCGACCCCCGUUACAGGUAGGCCUGGGCAGAGGGAGCCAGGCCCUGUUCAUGAGAGCAGCUAUGCUAGGGACUCCCUAAAAAACCCCAGCUCAACACUCAGCCCUAAGGGAACCAGAGUCAGGACAGUGAUAGAUUGGGUUGGGGUGCAAGGGGAAGAAAAGCUGGAGGGCCUCCAGGAGAAGGAAAGGAAAGGUAUCUGACACAACACAUUCAAUAAAUGCUUCCUGAAUUG